CUCGCUUUGCGCUAUUUCCGGAAGGUUUUCUCCCACCCUCGAGUCCUCUCUGGAGCACACAGCAAAACUUGAUGGAAUGUUUUGCCUAGAAAAAUGCCAAAUCCAGAUGCUUGGAGGAUCAUACCUGGACACAGAGUUCUGUUCCUAAAGCAGACAAGGAGUGAGUGUAACCUCCAGGUGUGUGCACAGGGCCCUGCUUGGCAGGAAGAGUUCCCUGGUUUGUUGGAGAGCCCCAGCUGCCUUCCUGCAGUGAGGAUAAAGGUCUCUGAGCUGAUGCUUCUCCCUGCUGACUUUUUUCUGACAUCUUCGUGGAUAAGAUCUGGGAAUCUCCUCGUCUCCACUCUGUCCUUGCCUCCUCUCCUCCUGAAUACACAGAGUGAUUAACUCAUUUCUUCUUUCCUGUUUUCACUUCAUAUAAGGAUCUAACAACAGACCCUCUUCUGAAAUGUCCCUUAUCUUCAUUUUAAAACAUCUUUUAAAGAAACAUCUCCUCCUUCUUUACCAAAGCAGACAAUGGGUGCAGAAGGUAAUGACAUCCCACGGUUUGGAAUAUUUAAGGAUUUCACACAUUGCUUCCAAAAAUCCCGGGGGUGUGAUAAUCUUCACAGAGUAAAUAUCUACCUUGUGAAUGAAUUUAGCUCUUUAGAGAAGAAAUUUUGACUGCUGAAUUAGUGACAAAAAUAAAAAGGAAUGCUGCCUCUUGGGAUCUUCAUUUUUAAAUUGAGGUCCUGUUGGGCAGCAGAGGGGCCUCCAUGACAUCUUUGAGUGUCAGUGUAAAAUAAAACAGGGGCUGCCAUGGCUACAUCUGAGCCUCUGAAACUGGCACUGCCACCACAAGUUCUUCUCAAGCCACAUUCCUAAAUAAAAGUUGCUAGGAUACCAUAGUGGGAUGCACAAAUAACACUGAGCUUCAAAACAAAUGUGUGAAACUUAAUCUUCACUCACAUUUUGAUAUAAAAUGAUUAAAUAUUAUUUGACUGUAGCAGA